rnacentral:rRNA from 1 species
GAGCGGGAAGAGCUCAAAUUUGAAAUCUAGUAGCCUUCGGCUGCUCGAGUUGUAAUCUAGAGAAGUGUUUUCCGUGCCGGCCCAUGUACAAGUCCCUUGGAACAGGGCGUCAUAGAGGGUGAGAAUCCCGUCCUUGACAUGGACCCCCGGUGCUCUGUGAUACACUUUCAACGAGUCGAGUUGUUUGGGAAUGCAGCUCAAAAUGGGUGGUGAAUUCCAUCUAAAGCUAAAUAUUGGCGAGAGACCGAUAGCGAACAAGUACCGUGAGGGAAAGAUGAAAAGCACUUUGGAAAGAGAGUUAAACAGUACGUGAAAUUGUUGAAAGGGAAACGAUUGAAGUCAGUCAUGCUCUUUGGUAUUUAUAUCAUUGAGUGGGGUCAACAUCAGUUUUGAUCGAUGGAUAAAGGCACUAGGAAGGUAGCACUCUCGGGUGAACUUAUAGCCUAGCGUCAUAUACAUUGAUUGGGACUGAGGAACGCAGCAUGCCUUUAUGGCCGGGAUUCGUCCACGUACAUGCUUAGGAUGUUGACAUAAUGGCUUUAAACGACCCGUCUU